rnacentral:misc_RNA from 1 species
GAUGAAGAACGCAGCGAAAUGCGAUAAGUAAUGCGAAUUGCAGAAUUCCAGUGAGUCAUCGAAUCUUUGAACGCACAUUGCGCCCUUUGGUAUUCCGAAGGGCAUGCCUGUUCGAGCGUCAUUAUCACCCCUCAAGCCCUCGGCUUGGUGUUGGAAGGUUUGGUGGAGGCCCCCUCGGGGGCUCCUGCCCCUCCCAAAGACAAUGACGGCGGCCUCGUUGGACCCCCGGUACACUGAGUUCUUCACGGGACACGUAUCGGACACAUGGGUUUACGGGACACGGUCUGCCUCCCCUCAGGGAGAAUCUUUCUAAGGUUGACCUCGAAUCAGGUAGGGAUACCCGCUGAACUUAAGCAUAUCAAUAAGCGGAGGA